rnacentral:rRNA from 1 species
UACGGAGGAUGCGAGCGUUAUCCGGAUUUAUUGGGUGUAAAGGGAGCGUAGACGGCUGUGCAAGCCAGAUGUGAAAGCCCGGGGCUCAACCCCGGGACUGCAUUUGGAACUGUGUAGCUGGAGUGUCGGAGAGGCAGGCGGAAUUCCUAGUGUAGCGGUGAAAUGCGUAGAUAUUAGGAGGAACACCAGUGGCGAAGGCGGCCUGCUGGACGAUGACUGACGUUGAGGCUCGAAAGCGUGGGGAGCAAACAGG